GCACUGCAGAGGAGUCCCAUACCAGGACGAAACGGCCGUUCAGUGC
rfam:Schistosoma margrebowiei strain Zambia genome assembly, scaffold: SMRZ_contig0002938